rnacentral:rRNA from 1 species
UACGGAAGGUGCGAGCGUUAAUCGGAAUUACUGGGCGUAAAGCGCACGUAGGCGGUUUUUUAAGUCGGAUGUGAAAGCCCCGGGCUCAACCUGGGAACUGCAUCCGGUACUGAAAGGCUAGAGUACGGUAGAGGGGGGUGGAAUUCCAGGUGUAGCGGUGAAAUGCGUAGAGAUCUGGAGGAACACCGGUGGCGAAGGCGGCUCACUGGCCCGAUACUGACGCUGAGGCACGAAAGCGUGGGGAGCAAACAGG